rnacentral:lncRNA from 1 species
UUUUGGGGUGUUCUGUAAUUCAAAGCCUCAGCGCCAUGUUUCGCGCCCUAGCUCUGAAUUUCGCGCCUCAGCGCCAAAAAUAGCCCAAAACUUCACGCCCCAGCACUGAAAUUCGUGCCCGAGCACUAGAAUUCAUGCCCCAGUGCCACUGUCUCGCGCCCCAGCGCUGAAAAAGUGGUCUGGGUCGAACAGUUUUGACCUCAUGUAGUAAAAUGGCCAUAACGUUUUCAUACGAACUCCGAUUGAGGUGAUUCAAGAUGAUCCGAAACGAGGACGAAUAGACCUACAACUUUUAUUCUUUAAGUUUUGCAAUUUGAGGUCGGUAACAGGGGUCAAAAUGGUCUUUUGUGGGACUUAUAUGUAUUAGGAGGCAAUCGGAGGGCAUCAGGAAUGCACAUAUGCAAAUAUAGUGCUCCUGACGAUAAAAGAUGUUGUCCUAUGUUAUAAAACAUGAGUAUUAGUAAAUAUAAGAUGCUUAACAUUAAUAAAUGAUGUAUUAGACAAGUUGUAUAAGCAUACUAAGCACACAUAUGAAAGACGAAUCGGGCGUGUGACGAAAGAACGUCGAAAUGCCGUGCCAAGUGUUAAUGAACUUAAAAAGUGUUUCAAUUCAAUUGAAAUGAAUAUUAUAAGAUAUGGAAUGGAUUUAAUAUAAAACCAAUAAGUAGUCCUAGCAAGACUUAAGCACUUGAAUGAACUUCGACUUUGACUAAGAAGAAAUAUAGUGAGUUAUAAGUCUAAAGUUAACACAAUCAAAUUGAACAUUGUGUAUUGAUUAAUAGGAAGGGUUGUAGGAUGUAGAUUAAAGUUUAUAUUAUAACUACUAUGCGUUGCUAUGUGACUAAUAGUUGAUCUGAAUUAUUAUAUAAUUGUGUAGGGCACGUAAAGUACAGAUAACUGUAAGCAGUUAAACUGUUAUUGGUAAACAACAAUCAAGGCAAGUCUUUCAGUUCCUAUUUGCUAUGUGAAUUUGAUUGUUUUAAAUCUUUAUUUGCAAAGAGCAGGAUGUGUUAUAUAUAUGUUGAAUGUAUGAAAUGUUGAAGUCAAUUUAUGACUACGUUGUUUGACUAAAGCAUGCUGAUUGAGUAAGGAACUCAAUCUUUAUAAUUGUUAUAUGAAUUGUAGCAUGUAUGUUAUGUUAGUCCGAUGUUUAUAAGAUAUAUGUUGAGCAUGUUAUUAUGUGCUACAUGAUGCAUGAAAACUGUUAGAUUUUGCUGGGCUGUCGAGCUCAACCUUGCCAAUAACCACUUUUGCAGGUUCAAGAUUCAAGGUAAAGUUAUGUCUUACUUGAAAGAUAUGAAUCAGAUGUGAUACUUGAAGAAUUAUAUACUUUGGCUGAGUUAUGAUUAUUUGAACCAUGCUUAAGGUUCCGAACAACGUAUAAAUGUUGAAUUGUAAUAACAUUUUGCGAUGUAAACUAUUGUAGUAUUAAAAUGAUUCUGAGAUAUUUAGAUGUAAAGGUUGAAGGUUUUGGGAACGACGAUUGUUUGUAAUAGAAAAUUUUAAUUAUUCCGCAAAUUUCAAUGGUUAUAUUAUCGUUUAAUGAUGUAAAAUUAGAGGUUGAAUGAAUUAUUAACGACCGAAGUCGAGAAUUAAAUUGUAUGAAUUUUGGGAUUGUUUCAGUUGGUAUCAAAGCUGAUAGGUUAGAAACCUUAGGUAAGAGUACCUUAGGCUAUAACCUUAGAGAAGAGAGGUUAUGAUAAUAAAGAAUAAGUUCAGAUAGAGUUUGCACAAUAAGAAGUAAUUUAAGAAACUUAUAAAGAAGGGAUUAAAACAUGAGUAAGAAGAUUCAAAGAAGAAUCUCACAGAGUUAUAAGGAAUAUGAACGUGGGGUUACCCAACUCCAAUAAUAAGGAUGUAAGGUGAUAAUAAAUAGACAAUGUCUGUAAGAAGAGAAUGAUAAAGAAGUUAUGAAUAAAAGGUUAUAUUUAAGUAUGGUACAGUUGUACUCUUUAAUAGUUGAUGUAUGGUAUCUGGGCUAAACGAUUCCUUCAUAGAGCGGAGGUAUAUACGAACUAGCAACUCGGAACCUAGUUUGUUGGUUGUUUGUGGGAAACCACUCAGCGUACCAUAUUGAAACUAUUAGAGACUCGAUGUGUACCAAGUGUAGAAAAUGGUUACGUAUGAUGAUAAUGUGGAACUCGAAUGAAAUGUUGAGCAAUGUAAAUAAAGUUAGAGAUUCUUAAAGGAUGAAGUGUUAUAUAAACAAGAAGAUUCAAAGAAGAAUCUUGAAGAGAUAUAAAGAUAAGAAAUGGGAGUUACCUUAACUCCAAUAACCAAGAUAAUGAAUAAUGAUGACUACACAAAAUCUGGAAGAUUAAAAGCAUAAACGAAAUCUUAAAUGAUGAAAAAGGAAAUAAAGAUGAUCGUAAAACAAAACGAUCACGAGUGAAGAAAAGAAUUUUAAGGGAGAUGAUUAUAGAAUAAGAUCACGACGUGAUCUGUUUAAGUUAUAAAAGAAAGAUGGUCUGUAAUGUUUGAAUAAUUAUAGCUUGAUUCUAUGUACUAUGAAAUAGUACGAGAUAAACUCAAGAGGAGUGAUACGAGGAAUUCGUAUUGAGCAAGUUAAGGGUAAGUUGUUAAGAGUAAGAUAGAGUUAGGUGGGAUUUCAAUUGAGGACUCAUGUGAUGGCUGAGUUGUACAAACCUUUGUAUGGGCGAGGGUUUUGUGCUUGCAUUCAAUUUAUUACAUUGAUAAUCAUUGGAAUGUCGGUGUCGCGCUAUCAAUGUAUGUGUGGUGAAAAGGUGAUUCUUUUCUCAUAUGUAUAUUUGAUAGUUAAGAACUAUUAAGAUUAAUCAGAUAUUAUUAGGAUUAGGUGUGGUUCUUAAAAUUAAUGCAUAUGGUAAGUUCGUGACUCAUAAUAAUAUGGUAUGUUUUGAAUCCCUUAGCGAAUGGACGCCUAUGGUCUGACUAGGAUAAGUUCUUAAACUCAUAUUAUUAUGGCAAGUUCCUGAACUUCCAAUGUGCGGUAAGUUUGAUGAACUAUUUUGGGUAGAAAACGGUUAUAGUAUAAAGAGCAUUGAUGAAGUUGAAGAUUGAUAGAAUGGUUAAGUAAUGAAGUAAUGAAGUAAAGAUUGAAGUUGAUGGAUACCUGGAUAUUCUAAAUCUACUAGCUAUGUUAGACUUUCGUAAUUUAUUGACUUCGUGCUGAUGUUUGCACUUCUAUUUUCUUGAAAAACAUUGGAUCAAAUGAUGAAACCAAUGAGUUUUAAAAAUAAUACCGUUAUUCGUAUGUCUAUGCUAAUUGCUUCGGCAAGACAAAAAUAAUUUGAAAUAUAUCAAAAUAUAUUUUUUUAUAUCAUCAAUGCAUCAUGUAACCUGGUGCAGAGAUGAUAAAAAUGAUGGAGUCAUCAAUGUAGUAUUACUUAGUGUUGGAUGUGAUCUAAGGAUCGUCAGCCCACUAUGGUAUGAUGUAGUAUGAUAAAAUCACUAAAUGACGGAAUCCUCAAAUGGACUGUAAAUACAGUGCGGUAUCAUGACGUCAUAAAAAGAUUUUUGAGAUUCUUUGAGAUAUGAGAAUAUAUAUAUAAAUAUAUAUAUAUAUAUAUAUAUAUAUAUAUGUAUAUGUAUAUUUCGAUUGAUGUCUGAAUUGUUGUAGAAGUCUAUGCUAUUUGAUUCAGCUAGACGAUUAUUGAAAGAUGUUCAUGAAAUUCAAGCGUUUCUUGAAAAGUUAUGCCAAACCAAAUUAUUUUGGUGCGGAUUCAGAUGUUGAAAAGCUGAGAUGAACAACCCUUUUAUAUGGGAUUACGCGGAGGCAUUUAGAUGAUUGUGCACAGUACAUUGUACGAAGGGAUGAUCACCCUAAGUACAAGGAGUCUCUAUAGUCUAAUGACUGUUAAAGUUUAAGUUGAAAGAUAACUUAUAACUAUGGACAUACGCAUAACGUUUAAAUGUUUAUGCACAAUACAUCAUACGAAGGGCUUAACACCUUAAGUACGGGAGUCCCUAUAGUCUAAUGACUGUUAAGGUUUCAGUUGAAAGAGUACUUAUAACCGUGGACGUAGUUCAAGGUCUUAUGACCCUCAACCUGAUUUGGAAUCUUUUAAAUUUCUGUUAUUCAUUUCGCUUCCCAAUUAUUAAGCAAUUGAGGAAGAUUCUUGUAAUUCUAAAAGGUGAAUGUGGUAAGGAUAAUAUUCCUUAGAAAGAAGUCAGUUGUAGAAUGCGACACUUAAUGAUGAAUAUAUUGAAUAAGUGAGAAAAGAAAUUUUUAAAUGAGAAGGAAAUGAGUUAUCAAAGAAUAAUGUAAAAGUUUUAAUAGAAAAGUUUAAUAAUUGUAGAAAGAUCUUUAUGGAAAGAAGUGGUUAUAGAACCCAAUGAAUGAAUAAAGUAUUAACAUAAAAUCUAUUUUAUUAAAUUGAAUGAAUAAUGAUUAAUAAAUAAAAUUUUGAGGACGAAAUUCUUAGAAGAAUGGGUGAAUGUAAUAUCCCGAGUGUUUAUGAUAACGAUCCUUAGCAAAGGAAAUGAAUGGGUUAAAGAGUAUAUAAUACUCAAAAUAUAAUUGAGUUCAAGUGAAAGUUAUGAAAUAAAACCUAGAAUUUGUUGAAGUAAUGAAUCUAGUAGGAAAUAUAAAAUCUAUAUUAAGGUAAUGUAUUGAAGAUAUUCAACGAUAAAUUUUUGAAAAGAGACUUGGUGAAAACCUGGGUAAGGAGGUUUCUUUGAUUCUGAGGACGGAAUCUUUAUAAGGAGGGAAGGAUGUGACAAACCAAAUUUUCAUAAGUUAUUAAAAUAAGAAUUUAAUAAUUGAAAUUCUUAUUACGAUAUGAUUAAUGUAACAACCUAGAAUUUUAUUUAUAAUUAUAAAUAUUUAUUAAAUUAUAUAAAUAUUUAAUGGAUGUGUUUAUUGUUGAAUGAAUAUUUGUUUAAUUUGGUUUGAUUUGAUUUGGUUAAUUAUUUGUUUAAUAAAUAAUUAAUGGGUUAAGGAAAUUAAUUAUUAUGAGAUAAUAUUCUAAUUUAAUUUAAUAAUUAAGUUAGAGAGUUUAUAAUGAUUAAAUUAUUUAUUCAAUAAAUUGUUAUUACAAUUAAUUAAAUUAUGUAUGAAAACUUAAUUAAAUAAAGUGUGAUAAAUAACUAUAUGAUAAAUGAGUUAUUAAAAUAAAUUAAAGGAGUUUAAUUUAGUUUUGCCAAACAAGGCUUAAAUAUAUUAAGUCUUUAAUUUUUAAAGGGUUUUUCCAAACAAAGCCUUAUGGCUUUUGGGAUUUCUAAUUUUUGAAUUUUAAAAAAACAAUUAAAAUAAAUUAAAAUAAUAAAUAUAAUAUAUUUAUAAUAUAUACGUUUAUUUUUGUAAUUGUCAUUAUAUUAAGUAUGUAUUAUAGCUAGCCUNNNNNNNNNNNNNNNNNNNNNNNNNNNNNNNNNNNNNNNNNNNNNNNNNNNNNNNNNNNNNNNNNNNNNNNNNNNNNNNNNNNNNNNNNNNNNNNNNNNNUAUACUGAAAAGAGAGAAGAGAAGAGAGCUUGACAGUGAGAAUUGAGAUAAGAGCUUGAGAGAAUUUGAGAGAAUUGUCUCCAAUUACGAGGAAUUAUCACGCUAAUUGAAGGCAUAAUCACAAACUCAUUAUUAUUAUUAAUAUAUAUAUAUAUAUAUAUAUAUAUAUAUAUAUAUAUAUAUAUAUAUAUAUAUACAUGUGUGCCUAUUUGUGUUUCACGACAAAAUUUUAUAUACUAUGUGAAUUUCAUAUUUUGAAUUGUUGCUAAACAAAUGAAUGGUGGUAAUUUUUCAUGAUUAGUGAGGUUUUAGUUGUAUAUAAACAGGAAAUUGCAUGCUAAUUACAGUUAAAAAGUAGAAAAUUUUGACAGUAUAUGUAUUUCUUACGGGGCUUAUGUAAGUAGCAAUUAUGAUGAUCAAUUAUUGUGUGAAAUUGAACGGUGACUAUGUUAGUUAGUUUGUUAAGAAUUAUAGAAAAAUUAGAUCAAAAGAAUCAAAUUGGUGUAUCAUUAUGAUUAUAGUGUUCACUGUGUCAAGAAAUAUCAAAAUGGAGUUUUUGGUUUUAAAAAUAUGCUAUUCCAGUAUUUAAUUUUUUUAGAAUUAUGAUUUAAGUUGUGUUAAUAUAGUAUUGGUAUGCUUGAUGAAGUUUAUGUGUAAUUUGCAUAAGUUAUACAUGUUAAUUGGUGUUAGAAAUUAAGAUAUAGCUUUGUUCUAUGUUUUGUUUUGGGUGUUCUGUAAUUCGGAGCCUCAGCGCCAAGUUUCGCACCCCUGCUCUGAAUUUCGCGCCUCAGCACCAAAAAUAGCCCAAAACUUUGCGCCCCAGCGCUGAAAUUCACGCCCCAGUGCUGGAAUUCGCGCCCCAACGCCACUGUCUCGCGCCCCAGCGCUGGAAAAGUGGUCUAGGUCGUGCAGUUUUGACCCCCUGCAGUAAAAUUGUCAUAACGUUUUCAUACGAACUCCGAUUAAGGUGAUUAAAUAUGAUCCAAAACGAGGACGAAUAGACCUACAACUUUUAUUCUUUAAGUUUUGCAAUUUGAGGUCGGUAACAGGGGUCAAAAUGGUCUUUUGUGGGACUUAUAUGUAUUAGGAGGCAAUCGGAGGGCAUCAGGAAUGCACAUAUGCAAAUAUAGUGCUCCUGACGAUAAAAGAUGUUGUCCUAUGUUAUAAAACAUGAGUAUUAGUAAAUAUAAGAUGCUUAAAAUUAAUAAAUGAUGUAUUAGAUAAGUUGUAUAAGCAUACUAAGCACACACGUGAGAGACGAAUCGGGCAUGUGACGAAAGAACGUCGAAACGUCGUACCAAGUGUUAAUGAACUUAAAAAGUGUUUCAAUUCAAUUGAAAUGAAUAUUAUAAGCUAUGGAAUGGAUUUAAUAUAAAACCAAUAAGUAGUCCUAGAAAGACUUAAGCACUUGAAUGAACUUCGAGUUUGACUAAGAAGAAAUAUAGUGAGUAAUAAGUCUAAAGUUAACACAAUCAAAUUGAACAUUAUGUAUUGAUUAAUAGGAAGGGUUAUAGGAUGUAGAUUAAAGUUUACAUUAUAACUACUAUGCGUUGCUAUGUGACUAAUAGUUGAUGUGAAUGAUUAUAUAAUUGUGUAGGGCACGUGAAAUACAGAUAAUUGUAAGCUGUUAAACUGUUAUUGGUAAACAACAAUCAAGGCAAGUCUUUCAGUUCCUAUUUGCUAUUUGAAUUUGAUUGUUUUAAAUCUUUAUUUGCAAAGAGCAGGAUGUGUUAUAUAUAUGUUGAAUGUAUGAAAUGUUAAAGUCAAUUUAUGACUACGUUGUUUGACUAAAGCAUGCUGAUUGAGUAAGGAACUCAAUCUUUAUAAUUGUUAUAUGAAUUGUAGCAUGUAUGUUAUAUGUUGAGCAUGUUAUUAUGUGCUACAUGAUGCAUGAAAACUGUUAGAUUUUGCUGGGCUGUCGAGCUCAACCUUGCAAAUAACCACUUUUGCAGGUUCAAGAUUCAAGGUAAAGUUAUGUCUUACUUGAAAGAUAUGAAUCAGAUGUGAUACUUGAAGAAUUAUAUACUUUGGCUGAGUUAUGAUUAUUUGAACCAUGUUUAAAGUUCCGAACAACGUAUAAAUAUUGAAUUGUAAUAACGUUUUACGAUGUAAACUAAUGUAGUAUUAAAAUGAUUCUGAGAUAUUUAGAUGUAAAGGUUGAAGGUUUUGGGAAUGAGGAUAGUUUGUAAUAUAAAAUUUUAAUUAUUCCGCAAAUUUCAAUGGUUAUAUUAUCGUUUAAUGAUGUAAAAUUAGAGGUUGAAUGUAUUAUUAAUGACCGAAUUCGAGAAUUAAAUUGUAUGAAUUUUGGGGUCGUUUCAGAUCUGAUCUCCCCCAUCAAUGAGAGUAUGUAGGCAACCAUC